rnacentral:rRNA from 1 species
UACGUAGGUGGCAAGCGUUGUUCGGAAUUAUUGGGCGUAAAGAGCGUGUAGGCGGCUAGGUAGGUCCGUUGUGAAAACUCGAGGCUCAACCUCGAGACGUCGAUGGAAACCAUCUAGCUAGAGUCCGGAAGAGGAGAGUGGAAUUCCUGGUGUAGCGGUGAAAUGCGCAGAUAUCAGGAAGAACACCCGUGGCGAAGGCGGCUCUCUGGUACGUGACUGACGCUGAGACGCGAAAGCGUGGGGAGCGAACAGG